CCGAUCUGUCUAUCAAUCUCACGCUCCAGCCGUCCCUCACUCGCGAACAAGACCCCGAGAUACGUAAACUUCUCCACUCGAGGCUCUCAAAAUACCUGUUGUUGAAAUAGGAAUUCCAGCAAUGGUUUUGUCCAGUUUCACCAGGUUUGGCAUUAUGUCUUGAUGUACAGACAUCACCUUCUUCACAUGGUCGGGGAGCUGUGCUGGGCACAG